UACGGGGGGGUGCGAGCGUUGUCCGGAAUCACUGGGCGUAAAGGGCGCGUAGGUGGUUUGAUAAGGGUGUGGUGAAAGUCCGGGGCUCAACCCCGGAUCUGCCGUGCCGACUGUCAAACUCGAGGGCUGUAGAGGCAGACGGAAUUCCGGGUGUAGCGGUGGAAUGCGUAGAGAUCCGGAGGAAGACCGGUGGCGAAGGCGGUCUGCUGGGCAGUUUCUGACACUGAGGCGCGACAGCGUGGGGAGCAAACAGG
rnacentral:rRNA from 1 species